AUGUUCUCGUCGCAGUCACUCAGCCACGUCAACAACAUCCGCACGGCGCUGAUCAACGUGCAGAAGGGCAACCAGUCGGUGUCCUCCUUCUUCGCCACCAUGAGGGGGCUCGCUAAUGAGCUCGCCGUGGAGGGAAAACCGAUCCAGGACGACAAGCUCAUAUCCUACAUCAUCCAUGGGCUGGACCAAGAUUAUCAGCCCCUCGUCUCAGCCUUGGACGCCCGUGUCACUCUGGUAACCCUUGAUGAGCUCUUUGCCAUGCUUAGCUAUUUUGAUCAGCGCAUGGCGCAGUACCACGGCUCCGGUGACGGCUUCGAGUCCUCGGCAAACUCCGUCUCCAGAGGCCGCGGUGGUGGCUCUCGCUCUCGUGCCUCCUCUCGUGGCAAGGGGAGGUUUGGAUCCGGCGGCGGCGGCUACUCCAACAACACUCGCGGCGGCGGACGCUCCAGCAGCUCAAAAGGGCACCAUGGUGGCAGCGCCAACAGGUCGCGCCCGGACCUGCCUCGCUGGCAAAUUUGUGGCAAGCCCGGUCACACGGUGAAGGACUGUUGGUACCGC
rnacentral:rRNA from 1 species